rnacentral:rRNA from 1 species
CGCGAGUAGUUACUACUUGGCGGCGAGCGGCGGACGGCUGAGUAACGCGUAGGAACAUACCCCAAAGUGAGGGAUAAGCACCAGAAAUGGUGUCUAAUACCGCAUGUGCUCUAAGGAGUAAAGCUUCGGCGCUUUGGGAAUGGCCUGCGUCUGAUUAGCUUGUUGGUGAGGUAAAAGCUCACCAAGGCGACGAUCAGUAGCUGGUCUGAGAGGAUGAUCAGCCAGACUGGGACUGAGACACGGCCCAGACUCCUACGGGAGGCAGCAGUAGGGAAUUUUCCACAAUGGGCGAAAGCCUGAUGGAGCAACGCCGCGUGCAGGAUGAAUGCCUUAGGGUUGUAAACUGCUUUUAUAUGUGACGAUUAUGACUGUAGCAUAUGAAUAAGGAUCGGCUAACUCCGUGCCAGCAUUUUCGGUCAUACAGAAGAUCCAAGCGUUAUCCGGAAUUACUGGGCGUAAAGAGUUGCGUAGGUGGCAUAUUAAGU